UGACUUCGUGGUUACUUGGCGAGUAUAUAAAUACCAACUGCCAGUUUAAUAUCGAAAAUUAAUUGAGAAUUUUAACAAUUUUCAUGCCGUUUAAACUUGUAUCGUUUUGCUUUAAACGAACCUAUUUGAUCGAAAUUUAUACAGCUUUUCCAACAAGAAUCGGUGAAUUAUUCAGGUAUACAACAUGGUCGGUAUCGUGAAAGCUUCGCUGUUGCAAAAGGUCGAUCAUCGUUGAAGUAAUUACUUCGAGAAAAACUCUACAUAUUUACUUUCGUAUAUCCGUGACUUGGAGACCGUUCUUAUCGAGAGAAUAGAAUUUAGCGAAAGAAAAAAAAAAAAAUUCUAAGUAAGGAGGAAUCCAUAUUAUUGUACCCUUGAAUAUAAAUUAUGUUUUGGAUUACAAGGUCUAGAAACAAAGGAGCUGUAAGUAAAUUUCUGUCGCUGUUUCUCAUAGAUGUUUAUCUAGAGCUACAAGGUUAACUUUCUUUGUAAUGUCCUUUACUGUAAAUAUACGAACGUGUCCGCUUCUAUCGUAUCGUAUCCCAUCGCUUCUAUCGAAUUCUAAGACUAUAAAAGCGAGGAUCUUGAUCAGCAUA